rnacentral:tRNA from 1 species
GCCCGUGUGGCGGAAUCGGUAGACGCACGAGACUUAAAAUCUUGCGCCGUGAGGCGUGCCGGUUCGAGUCCGGCCAUGGGCACCA